CCUACGGGAGGCAGCAGUGGGGAAUAUUGGGCAAUGGGCGCAAGCCUGACCCAGCCACGCCGCGUGAAGGAAGAAGGCUUUCGGGUUGUAAACUUCUUUUGUCAGGGAAGAGUAGAAGACGGUACCUGACGAAUAAGCCACGGCUAACUACGUGCCAGCAGCCGCGGUAAUACGUAGGUGGUAAGCGUUGUCCGGAUUUACUGGGUGUAAAGGGCGUGUAGCCGGGUUGACAAGUCAGAUGUGAAAUCCUGCGGCUUAACCGCAGAACUGCAUUUGAAACUGUUGAUCUUGAGUACUGGAGAGGCAGACGGAAUGCCUAGUGUAGCGGUGAAAUGCGUAGAUAUUAGGCGGAACACCAGUGGCGAAGGCGGUCUGCUGGACAGCAACUGACGGUGAGGCGCGAAAGCGUGGGGAGCAAACAGGAUUAGAUACCCCAGUAGUC
rnacentral:rRNA from 1 species